rnacentral:lncRNA from 1 species
AUUUAGGCGGGAACCUCUAACUCUCACUCUGACUUUACCAAUUGGAGGAAUCACCUUGGGAGGAAUGGCUGCAAGUAUAGGGACAGGAAUUACCACCCUUAUAGAAACAGGCCAUUUCCAACAGCUACAAGCAGCUAUGAAUGCAGAUUUAAAGGCCAUUGAAGAAUCUAUAAGUGCAUUAGAAAAGUCCUUGACAUCUCUGUCGGAGGUGGUCCUCCAAAACAGAAGGGGGCUAGAUAUGUUGUUUCUCCGCGAAGGGGGACUAUGUGACACCCUAAAAGAAGAAUGUUGUUUCUAUGCAGACCAUACAGGGAUAGUGAAAGACAAUAUGGCUAAGCUUCGAGAACGCUUGGCCCAGAGACAAAAGCUGUUUGAGUCCCAACAUGGGUUGUUUGAGGGGUGGUUUAAUCGAUCCCCUUGGUUUGCUACUCUACUAUCAACCUUGAUGGGACCUCUAAUUAUUCUUCUCUUAAUCCUCCUUCUGGGCCCCUGUAUCUUAAAUAGAUUGAUACAAUUUAUAAAGGAUAGACUCUCAGUCAUUCAAACCUUCGUGCUGACACAGCAAUAUCAGAUGGUGAAACAACAAGAAACAGAGAUACCUUAACCAGGUUGAGUGAAAGAGUCCACUCAAUGAUAAAAGAAAAUGGGGGAAUGAUAGACCCCCUUCCAGAAAGAGAAUUGUACAAGCCUAAGGCCCACAAAUAUGAAAGUAAAAUUAAGUUU